rnacentral:rRNA from 1 species
UUCCGUAGGUGAACCUGCGGAAGGAUCAUUAAUAGUAUUGAGCCUGAGCUCAUUCUUUUUCUUGUGGUAUCUUUGAAAUGAUGGAGUGGGUUACGAGUCGAAAGAUUUGUGACGCGCUCUGUAUUAUCCUAGUGAAUGAAAUUACUGACUGAAAUUGUUUAAAAUAAUAAUAAUUAUGUAAAACAACUUUCAACAAUGGAUCUCUUGGUUCUCGCAUCGAUGAAGAACGCAGCGAAAUGCGAUACGUAAUGUGAAUUGCAGAAAGUGAAUCAUCUAAUCUUUGAACGCAUAUUGCGCCCUAUGGUAUUCCGUAGGGCAUGCCUGUUUCAGUAUCAUGAAAACCCUCACCUCUAAACAAGGUGGUAAUGAGAGUGCUUGUGUAUGUUGCAAGCUCUUUUUAAACAUAUUCCAUGAGAUGGAUUGUGACCUAUACCUACUAAUUGGUUUUUUAACGACCUAACCUUGGUAUUGUGUCCCAAACUCCAAUAACUCUCAUGUCACGGCCCCCCAUAAGGCCAAAACAUUUCAUAAAAU